AAUUAAAAACUUGUAUUUUACAUCAGGAAAGUGAAAGUCCAAAUAAAGAGAGAAUAAAGCUAAACAGAAAAACACCUCUUAACACCUAGAUAAAAUAUGAAACAAUUUUAACGGAGCGUGCAGAAGACGCGCUUUGACCCGCAAGGCCCACAGAAAGAGUUUUUUAGUCUAAAUAAAAGGAGUUCCCCGCGGCUAAGCAAGCCCAAAUCAUUGGUUGAUUUGGGCUUUUCAAAACUCCUUAAUGGGCCCCAUCUUUCGCUCUUUAAAGAAUAGACUAGCAUGUUUGUUGAGUUUAGGGCACUAGGCUGACAGACUAGGGGCGGGGAUUCUAGUCAAUUGUAGUUCCAGUUUAAUAGGGACGAAGGAAAUUUAUGUUGCUAUUUAUAGCAUCGACCUUUUGAUCCUAACUCCAUUCUUUUCAUUUGUUUUUUAGCUGUAAAUAAGAUACCCUCUUGUCCUCUUCCUUUUAUAUUGGAGAAUCCCACUUUUACACUUAAUAGUUAUAAUUUUUUUUCCCUUUUAUUUUUUCUUUUUACAAAACUAUGGGUUCUUUUUAAGCUUUCGGCUCAUUUCGCUAUUAUAGUUUAAUGAUAACCUAAUUCUCUCCACAUUCAUGUGAGUGCGAUUUAAAUUUUAAACCUUUCAUUUUCAACACAAAAAACUUGCUUUUAUAAUUACACUAUCUUUUGUCAAAAAUGUGUCAUGAAUAGAGUUAAAGAGAAGAAAAAUAAAGGCUCCAAGAGGAUUUUUUUUUUCCAAUUAGUUUCCAUUGUGCCAUGUAGCUUGACACAUCAACUAGCAUGAUUGAUUCAUCAAUUUUCACAUUAAAGACAUGUGGAAGUUGCAAUGUUGAUGGGAUAUAAGGAACAAACAAGAAAUUAUAGCAUGUUGUGCAAAUUAUCAUAAAGUCCUUGAAGAACAUAUGGUGAAGGUUGAUCUUCAAUCCUCAAGAAAUUAAUUUAUGGAAGCUGGGAAGCAAUGAUUUGAGACUUCAUUUUAAUGAAAUAAAUAAGGCCAAAGUUCUGGGGACUCCAUACAAGUGUCUAUGCCAAGUGGCUAGGAAAUUUUAGAAGCAACUUUCAAUAUCAGGGUAUAUUGAUAGAUGUCCAAUUCAAUCACCAAAAAGAUUGGCUUAAUUAUUAAGUCAAGCAGAAAAGAGAUAACGAAACUAGUUCAUCAUAAAUGGAUGAAAACCAUAUAAACAAAAUCAACAUGUAUAUAUAAUAUAACAUUAGUAUAUUGAGUCUUUUAGAGGUGUAGAAAAUAGAUUUUGUAAAAUGUGAAUUUUGACUAGGUAUAAAUGCUAAUUUCUUUUUUAAAUCAAUUUAAGAAACCGUGUAUGAAAUUUAAAUCUCUUUUGUCAUUAAAAAAUAUUUUACUAAUUUAACCAACUAGUAAAAACAAAAGAUUAAGUUCUAUAAUUUUGAAUUUAUUGAAAUUUGAUAUCCAAAAUUUUGUGGGGGUAAUUAUCAAACAAAGUAAAUUGAAACGGUUUGGGGAUGCUUGGUCUAGGGACGUGAAAUGAUCAAAGGGAAGAAAUGUGUUGAAAAUUGAUUAAAAAGAAAAAAAACAGUGAACAGUAACACGGUUUGACCAAACGGUGAAUAGUAAUGUGACAUGAACAAUAACGCAGUUUGAACAAUGCUAUCCGUUUGGUUAUAAAUAGGAGAGUCUUUCAUAAGUUUUCAUUAUCCCAAAUUUGAGAAGUAAGAGAAUGCAAGAGAAGCAUUGAGAGCUUCCAACAUAGGAGAGAAAUAUGCUUAAGUAUGUAGAUGUAUUGUAGGAGUAUUUGGCUUCUUAAUAUGGAUACUACGAGUUUGUUUUGUUAAGAGAUAUUUCUCAAGAUUAUGAAUUGGGGUUUGGGUGAGAUAAAAUUAUUUUUGAGAAAGUAGUUGUAAAAAUUUUUCACAUAGUGAAUAUUUUUCUCUUGUUGUCUUUUGACAACAACCGUGAUUUUUCUCUAAAUUUAGAGUUUUCCACGUAAAAAUUAUGUUUUGUGAUUGAUGUAUUCUCCAUUUAAUUUUUUUUUGUUAAUUUAUUAUUUGACAAAUUACUUGAAGUGAUUUUGGGAAGAAGCUCAAUUUCCUAACAAAAUGAUCAAACACGCCGUUUCUCUGUACAAGCCCCCGAUGAAAAUUGUCUAAACAAAAUCUAAGAGUUUGAAUUUCUUGCAAAUUGGAGAGGUGAUUAUCAAUUUUUUGUGAGAGAAAGUUCGUUGGAUUUUAAAGGUACCAUUCAAAGUAAGGGCAGUGAUCUUAAAUGCAUUGCUGUAUUUAAAAUUGAUUGAUUUGUUAGCAAAUGCACAUGAAACAAGCUAAGUAACACAAGUACAUGCCAUGCAGCUAAACUCAAUCUGUGUUUGGUCCCACUUCUCUUAUUACAAGUGAUGAAUUGUGGUUUGAAUAGGAAGCAAAUAGAAUCUAUAUAAGAAAUGAGAAGGCGUCUUUAUUAUUAAAUUUGUUAAACUAAUUAACCAGAUAUGAAAUAUCGGUCAUCAAGUUCUUGCCAAAUGUCUUUAGUUUUGGAAUUGUUGGUGUCAUAAUUUUAAUUUGUCCUCUAGAAAUUUCAAUUAGAGCAAUGCCGCAUAACUAACGACAUUUUGUAAGCCAAAAAUGAUAGUCUCCAUUGAUUACAUACAGUAUAAAUUUUCUGUUAUGAUUUUCACGGUAGAGAUGAAAUGGUUCAUUAAUUCAUCAGACUUUAUCAAAGACCUAAAUGGUAAAAGUAAUAUUUAAAAGAGACUGAAAUAUCAUUCUACCCAUUAUAAAAGAGAAUAUCAUACAAGAGAAUUGCAAAUUUAAAAUAUCCAUGGGCGAUAUAACGACUUAAUGUGUUAUCACUUGACUUUCCCUCUGAGCAAUGGAUCCAACACAAGCGAAUUGUCUGUAUCAUAUAUAAUUUAAUUUGUUUUCCAAAGGAUUCGAUCACCAAGUAUCCAAGUCAAACAUAUUUUAAUAUAUUUUGAUGAGUCACUAUUUAGCCUAAAAACCUGACAAAAAUUUUAAGUUAUUCAACUUAAAAGUUUGACCAAAACUUUAGGGCCAAUAAAAAACUAAUUAUAAACAUUUCUCAUAAAUUCACUAAUCACUUGAUUGACUCUCAAGUCUGUAUGUGAUUUUUUUUUUUGUUAUAUGUUAUCUAGAAAGAGGACGAGUCAACGAGUAUUGGUUAGUAAAUAUUUUGAUAGAUAAAGACCCCUUAAAAACUUCUUUCGAGAAAAAAACAAUUAUAUUUAAGAGUUCAAACAAUAAUAUUUAAAUUUAAUAAAAUUAAUUGUUGAAAGCAUUUUAAUCCAAUAGUUCAGAAAUUAUGACGCAAAAAAUAUGAGAUGUAUAUUAAUUGACCAAUUUGUCUCUAGUUAAUGGGCGCUAUUUAGUUUAAAUAAUAAAAUUUAGAACAAACAAAAAAUUAAAAAAAAAAAAAAGUGGAGUUCAAAUCCUUUCACUCGAGAUGAGGUACAUAUUUUAUUAUUAUAUCAUAUAGUGUUAUAGUUUGUUAAUGCUUUUGAGUACCUCUUAAGGACAAUUAAUGAAGCUAGAGUACGUUCAUCACUGGAUAGAAUAAUACUAGCUUCUUGAAGUAUCUUGAGAUUUUCUCUUUCUCUGCUCACCUACUCAAAAGCUUUCUAUUAAUUUCUACACAGGCAUUUCUGUUACACAUUUAUUUCGCCUUGAUCAUGCGAUGAUUGAGUUUUGUUUUAAUGAUUGCACGGAGAGAGCACUUUAGAUCUAAUUAAGUUUGACUAGUUUCUCAAAAUCAAGCUAUUCAACUUGCUUAAAUUCAUUGGGUUGUAAGUAGAGUAAUUUUUGUAAGUAUAAAUCCUAAUGAGAAUUUUAGGCCAAACAAUUGGGUUAUAAGGGAUAUGUAUUGACAAGACAGAGAAAUUGGUGACAAACUAAUAACAAAAGGAUGUGGCCUUGGCUCCAUAAAUUCCAAGUGACGAAACAAAAACGUUUAAAGUUGUAUGAUAGAAAAA
rnacentral:lncRNA from 1 species